rnacentral:pre_miRNA from 1 species
CUUAAGGGGUUUUGAGUUUUUACAUGCACUGUUUGACCACUCAUCUUAUUCAAAAAAUUUUGGAAUUACUUUUUUUUUUGACUUACUUUAUUAUCCAAAGUACUUUAAGCACAACUUUUCAUUUUUUUAUAUUUGCACAAAUUUUUUGAAUAAGACGAGUGGUCAAACAGUGCAAGCAAAAGCUCGAAAUCCCUUAUA